rnacentral:rRNA from 1 species
AUGGAUGAAAUUUGUGAUGAUGAUAAGGUGGAUGAAAUGCUUGACCAUAUUGCUAACAAAGGUCAGAAUGUAGUGAACUUGAAAGUGGUUAGGGGCACUGAUCCAAGACCUGUAGAUUUGAACUCAGGCUAUCUGUAUGAGGAGCAUAUUCCUUUGAGCCAAUUAGGAGAGAAGCCUGUGUAUGUAGUAAAUCCUUCUGGUUUUCUCUUAAGAUCACCACCAAAAAGAAAUAUACAGAGUCAGCCAGAGCCACUGCAGUUCUACCCCACACAGCAGAACACAAACCAUGAUAUGGAUACAGAUGUUGCCAUGGAUCAACGCAAUGCAGCAGAUCGGGAUGCAUUGGCGACAUUAAUGGAGGUGAAGAGGAGAACAAAGAUUGCCAAAUUUAGGAAACAUAAGAUUGCAGUUGAGCAUGUAAAUAAGGUUAAGCAGAAGCUACCAAUUCUUCUAACUGAAGAUGAUUCAGAUCUGGAUGCAGAUGAGGACUAUCUUCAGAGGCUUAAUGAGAUGAGGAGGCACAGAGAGGAUCCACUCAUUCAUUUUGAUGGAGACACUAAUCUGGAUGAAGUGUAUGAGGAAGACGAGGAAGGGCAGCAUGUGGAGGUGGAGCAAGAGGAGCAGGUGCAGCAAGAGGAGCAGGUGGAGCCUACAAAGAAGAAGAAAGCUAGAAAAGGGCCAACACAGAGGAAUAUGAUGAUGGAGCUGAGGAACUACAGUAUGUUCUGCCCAAUGGAAGGAAGAGCAUAUCAGUGA